ensembl:lncRNA
CCUAAAUACCCAAAUUUCUGUAUCUCCCUAAACAAGACCCAAAUUUCCACCUAAAUAUCCACAUUUGUGUAUUUUCUCUUCAUAAGACCCAAAUUCCCACAUUUUUGUACCCUCUCCUCACAAAAAGAACCAAAUUCCCACAUUUAUGUGUUAUCUCUUCCUCAGUAAGACCCAAAUUCCCACCUAAAUACCCAAAUUUCUGUAUCUCCCUAAACAAGACCCAAAUUUCCACCUAAAUAUCCACAUUUGUGUAUCCUCUCUUCAUAAGACCCAAAUUCCCACAUCUAUGUGUCAUCUCUUCAUAAACAAGGCCCAAAUUUCCACCUAAAUACCCACAUCUGUGUGUCCUCUUCCUAAAAAAGGCCCAAAUUCCCACAUUUUCGUACCCUCUCCUCACAAACAGACCCAAAUUCCCCCAUUUAUGCAUUCUCUUCAUAAGCAAGACCCAAAUUUCCACCUAAAUAUCCACAUUUGUGUACCUUCUCUUCAUAAAUACAACCCAAAUUCCCACCUAAACACCCAAAUUUGUUUAUUUUCUCUUCACAAGACCCCAAAUUCCCACAUCUUUGUACCCUCUCCUCACAAAAAGACCCCAAAUUCCCACAUCUUUGUACCCUCUCCUCACAAAAAGGCCCAAAUUCCCACAUUUAUGUGUUGUCUCUUCCUAAAUAACACCCAAAUUCCCACCUAAAUACCCAAAUUUGUCUAUUUUCUCUUUGUAAGACCCGAAUUCCCACAUUUUUGUACCCUCUCCUCACAAAAAGACCCAAAUUCCCACAUUUAUGUGUUGUCUCUUCCUCAAUAAGACCCAAAUUCCCACCUAAACACCCAAGUUUCUGUAUCUCCCUAAACAAGACCCACAUUUCCACCUAAAUAUCCACAUUUGUGUAUCCUCUCUUCAUAAGACCCAAAUUCCCACAUCUAUGUGUCAUCUCUUCAUAAACAAGGCCCAAAUUUCCACCUAAAUACCCACAUCUGUGUGUCCUCUUCCUAAAAAAGGCCCCAAAUUCCCACAUUUUCGUACCCUCUCCUCACAAGCAGACCCAAAUUCCCACACGUGUGUGUGUCCUCUCUUCAUAAACAAGACCCAAAUUCUCACCUAAAUAUCCACAUUUGUGUACCUUCUCUUCAUGAAUAAGACCCAAAUUCCCACAUUUGUGUGUUCUCUUCCUAAGCAAGACCCAAAUUUCCACCUAAAUAUCCACAUUUGUGUAUCUUCUCUUCAUAAAUACGAC